rnacentral:lncRNA from 1 species
AGGAAUGGAGUUGGGCCGCAGUCGAUCCGGCAGAUUCCGUUGGAUGCUGGCGGUUGGUGGAACUUAAUCGAUCCACUGAGAAGUUGACUAGGUUCACUGGAUGAGGGUGCCGCGAAAUACCGGGGAAGGCAGGGUUUCGCAGGGUAGCUGCCACGGGUGAAGAUGUACCCCCCUGUUUCACACAUCAUAAUUACCCUGUGGAGGGGGAUUGUGAAGGGGGACACCCUCCGUGCGGUUGUACGCUUAUGGUGGUGGUAGUAUGGCGCUCCUCUGAUGGGGCCCUCAGGACAUCCACCUGAGAAUCUCUCGCUUAUCUCUUCAAACACUUUUAGGAUCUCUCGAGGAUCGUUGCAUAAAAGUC